rnacentral:rRNA from 1 species
GGGCGGCCGAGUGGCAUACCGAGCCCGUCAUCAAGCACAUCUACGAGACGAUCUCGCGCGACGAGGCGCGUCAUGGCGGCGCGUAUCUGCGCUACAUGAAGAAGGCGCUCAACAACUGCGGCGACGUCGCGCGCGCGGCGUUCUCGAAGAUCGGCGUGCUGAUGGCGUCGGCGCGCCGCACCGAGAAGCCGCUGCAUCCGACCAACCUGCACGUGAACCAGGCGCUGUUCCCGCGCGACACCGUGCAGUCGCGCCUGCCCGAUCCGGAAUGGCUCGAGCGCUGGCUCGACGAGCAGAUCCGCUUCGACGGCGAGUGGGAGAAGAAGGUCGUCGAGCGGAUUCUGCACAACCUGUCGGUGCUGUUCGAGCGCACGUUCGCGACCGCGCAGGAACUGAACCGCUACCGCAAGGAGGUGACCGCGCGCCUGCAAUCGGAGAGCGGCCCGGCCGCCGCGCAGCCCGCGUAACGCGCGCGGCGCCGCAUCGAGACAAGCCCGCUCGCAGGCCCGGCGGGCUUUUCUUUUGCCGAUUCGCGCUGCCGCAGGCGCGAGCGGGCCGCGCCGCUCGACAUCGUCCUCCCGUUCAUCCGCCAACGAGUUUUCGCCCCAUGCCCGCUUCGUUCGAACGCAAGCUGAUCACCCGCGACGCGCUCGCCGCCAUGCGCGCGUCGCUGCCCGCGCCCGUCGUCUUCACGAACGGCGUAUUCGACAUCCUGCAUCGCGGCCACGUCAGCUAUCUCGCCGACGCGAAGGCGCUCGGCGCGUGCCUCAUCGUCGGCGUGAACAGCGACGCAUCGGUGCGCAUGCUCGGCAAGGGCGACGAUCGGCCGAUCAACGUGCAGGAAGACCGGAUGGCGCUGCUCGCCGCGCUCGAAUGCGUCGACUGGGUCGUCGGCUUCGACGAGAAGACGCCGGUGUCGCUGAUCGAGGCGGUGCAUCCCGACAUCCUCGUGAAGGGCGGCGACUACGACAUGGAUGCAUUGCCCGAAUCGGCGCUCGUGCGCGGCUGGGGCGGGCGCGCGCUCGCGAUUCCGUUCGAGCACGAUCGCUCGACGACCGCGUUGUUGAAGAAGGUGCGCGCGCAGUCGCGCUGAGCGCGCGCCGGGCGGCGCCCGCGCGCGGGCGCGGACGCGUGACCGCCGGCUGCCGCGUUACCGGGCGGCGGAUGCGCCGGGGAGGAUCGGCGCGCGGGCGGGCUGCGCGGCGGGCGGCGAUGAGGGUGCAGGCGCAGCGGGCGCGGCGACGGACGCCGGCAUGGAGGCGGGCGCAACCGCAGAGGCGGGCGCCGAUGCAGCAGGCGAGCCCGGCGCCGAGUCGGACGCCGCAGCGGGCGCCGCGCCGGACGCGUUCAGCGGCGCGGUCUCGAGCGCCGGCGGCACGAUCGGCCCGCCGACGAUCGGCUGAUCCGCCGCCUGCGACACGGGCGUCACGCGCAGCGCAUCCGGGCGCACCUGCAGCAGCGCAUGGCCCGGCUCGCGCGGGCCGGCGGCGGGCAGCGGGCCGAAUACGCCGCGCACCACGACGAACGCGAGCAUGUUGGCGAGAAAGAGAAUCGAGAUCAGCCAGCGCAGCAUCGUCAAUGCUCCCAGGAAUCGUUUCGUUACCGUCAAUCCGCCGCGCGGUUUCGCGCGGCGUCGCGUCUUGCGCGCGCGGCGCGCGAGCCGCCUGCGCGUGCGCCGCGCGUCACGCCGAAUGCGCGAUCAGCGCGAGGCCCGUCAGCACGAGCGUGUCGUGCCGCGUGUGCGGAACGGUCAGCGCGCGCACGAUCGCAUCCGCCGCGCCGCCCGACAGCACGAGCCGCACGGGCGCCUGCCAGGCUUUCUCGAGAUCGCGCCAUGCGCGCUCGAUGAGCCCCGCCUGCGCCUGCAGGCAGCCGGCCGACAGCGCAUGCGGCGUGUCGAUCGCGAACGGCGCAUGCGCGUCGUUCUCGGCGAGUUCGUCGAGCAGGUUCGUCGCCGCGUCGAUCGACACCGUCGGCAACUGCGCGGUGUGCAUGCCGAGCGAGCGCAUCAUCAGCGCCCAGCCGGGCGCGAUCAGCCCGCCCGCGAAGUGGCCGUCCGCGCGCAGCGCCUCGAGUGUCGUCGCGGUGCCGAACGUCGCGAUCAGCAGGUGUUCGUCCGCAAACGCGGCGUGCGCGCCGAUGAGCCCCGCCCAGCGGUCGCUGCCGAGGCGCGCAGGUUCCGCGUAGCCGUUCGUCACGCCGCAUUGCGCGGCGCUCGCGCGCACGACGGUGCGCGGCAGCGCGGGCCAGCGCGCUUCGAUCAGCGCGUCGAUGCGCGCGGCCGCCGCGUCUCCCGCGACGUUCGAGAUCCACGCGCCGCGCGGCGCGGGCAGCGUCGACCAGUCGGGUGCGUCGCUCGCAUGCUCGAACGCGCCGCUCGUGACGAAAUGGCGCGCGGUGUCCGCGAGCGCCCAUUUGAUGCGGCUGUUGCCCGCGUCGAUCAGCAAGCACAUGCCGCUCAUCGGGCGGCCCCCGGCGUGCGCAGCGACACGUCGCCCGCCGCGAUCGCCUGCCUGCCGGCGGGCGUGUCGAGCAGCAACUGCCCGGUUUCGUCGAUGCCGACGGCGACGCCGCGCGCGAGCUCCGCGCCGCGCUCGAGCAGCACGACUUCGCGGCCCGCGUAGGCGUGCAGCGCGUGCCAGCGCGCGGCGAACGGCGCGAGACCGUCGGCCGCGAACGCGGGCAGCGCGACGGCGAGCGCGUUCAGCGCGGCGGCGAACGUAUCGGUGAGCGUCGCGCCGGCGCGCACGGCGGCGAGCGCGACGGGCGGCAGCCCGCCCGCGAGCGUCGCGUCGCGCGCGCGCAGCGCGUCGACUUCGGCCGCGGCCGCGUCGGCCGUGCGCACGUUGACGCCGAAGCCGAUCACGACCGCGGUCGCGUCGAUCGUGUUCCAGACGGUCUCGAUCAGCACGCCGGCG